UUAACACAGGGAGUAAAGCGAGGGUCGCGGUGUGAGCAAUCAUGUCGUGACUUAACAGGCGGACGGGAGAGUAACACGUGGGUGACCUGCCCUCGAGACCGGGACACCUCCUCGAGAGGGGGGCUAAUACUGGAUACGUUCUCCGGGUUGCAAGACCUGGGGAGGAAAGGCUGCUCACAAGGGCUGCCGCUCGUGGAGGGGCUUGCGGCCUCUCAUCUAAUUGGUAUGGUAACCGCACUACUAGAUGAUGAUUGUUUUUUUACCCCUCAAUCUUUUAAAGCUAUGACACUCUUUUUUCUACAUCAAUAUAUUAUGUUUAUAUAUCUUUCUUUAGUGUAGGUACACGACGAGACUCGUUCCCCCUCCCACGCCCCCGGCUGGUCAGGCGCCCCCGAACACUCUCUCUCACACGCUCCAUCUACACCUGCUGGUAAGCAAGAGAACAUUAAGUGCACGAGUCUGCCACCGCGCGGGGUUAGAGGUCUGGACCGGGAGCAAACCGAAUAAAACUGUGGGAAUCCAUCACGGCCUUACCGUCCACAGGGCUGAACCUUAUGGUUGCCAGUUCUUUAUUACUUGCCUCUUAUAAAUUUAUAGAAAAAAAUAAUUCAUGUAAAUUACUUGCAAUAGAAUAGAGUAUGUAAAAAAGAACGUGCAUGGUAGUGAUAGCGAAGCUCUAAAUUAAUAUAUCGAUAGAAGUAGAGACUAAGCCGAGUUGUCACAAC
rnacentral:misc_RNA from 1 species